GAUGAAGAACGCAGUGAAAUGCGAUAAGUAAUGUGAAUUGCAGAAUUCAGUGAAUCAUCGAAUCUUUGAACGCACCUUGCGCUCCUUGGUAUUCCAAAGAGCAUGCCUGUUUGAGUAUCAUUAAAUUAUCAACUGUACCAAUUUGGUUGCAGAUUGGAUGUGGGAGAUUUUGCAGGCUUUUGAUUUCUCUUUGAGAAAACGGUCAGCUCUCCUGAAAUAUAUUAGCAGUGCCUUUGUUGGUUCAUUAGGUGUGAUAAUUUAUCUACAUCUUCACAUGGUACCUUCAUUUGUGUAAAGGUCAUAUUGCUUCUAAUUGUCUUUGGACAUAAAAAAAAAAAAACAUAUAAUUGUAUGGAAAACUUGAUCUCAAAUCAGGCAGGACUACCCGCUGAACUUAAGCAUAUCAAUAAGCGGAGGA
rnacentral:misc_RNA from 1 species